rnacentral:misc_RNA from 1 species
AGAAAUUUCUAUUUCAAGAUUUGUUUGUUUUUUUACUGUUGGUUGUUGUUAUUUGAGUUAAAGUUGAGAUCUUUACAUUGAUUGUGGCUGACGGAUUCUUGAGUGAUUACCUGUUUGGUGUAUGCUUUGUCCUUACUGAUAUAGUAUAUAAUUUUGACUUUCUAAAAGGAGGUGUUUUUAUGGCUCAUUUCUCUUAUUCUGAAUCUAUGUCUGGAAGUUCACAACAUGGGGUCCAGGUUGUUCCAUUUAAGACAUCUGCAGGAUCACUUAGGGUGUUGUUGUUGCAUGGAAACUUGGAUAUUUGGGUGAGGGAGGCUAAGAAUUUGCCAAACAUGGAUUUAUUUCAUAAGAAAUUGGAUAACUUAUUGGGAGGAUUGGCAAAACUUGGUAGUAAAAAAGAAGGAUCCCCUAAAAUUACUAGUGAUCCUUAUGUCACAGUUUCAGUAUCUAAUGCUGUAGUUGCUAGGACCUAUGUGAUUAACAAUAGCGAAAAUCCGAUAUGGA